rnacentral:rRNA from 1 species
AUUGAGCGCUGGCGGCAUGCCUUACACAUGCAAGUCGAACGGCAGCACGGGUGCUUGCACCUGGUGGCGAGUGGCGAACGGGUGAGUAAUACAUCGGAACAUGUCCUGUAGUGGGGGAUAGCCCGGCGAAAGCCGGAUUAAUACCGCAUACGAUCUACGGAUGAAAGCGGGGGACCUUCGGGCCUCGCGCUAUAGGGUUGGCCGAUAGCUGAUUAGCUAGUUGGUGGGGUAAAGGCCUACCAAGGCGACGAUCAGUAGCUGGUCUGAGAGGACGACCAGCCACACUGGAACUGAGACACGGCCCAGACUCCUACGGGAGGCAGCAGUGGGGAAUUUUGGACAAUGGGCGAAAGCCUGAUCCAGCAAUGCCGCGUGUGUGAAGAAGGCCUUCGGGUUGUAAAGCACUUUUGUCCGGAAAGAAAUCCUUGGCUCUAAUACAGUCGGGGGAUGACGGUACCGGAAGAAUAAGCACCGGCUAACUACGUG